rnacentral:rRNA from 1 species
CCCUUAGAUGUUCUGGGCCGCACGCGCGCUACACUGACGAAGUCAGCGAGCAUGUCCUACGCCGACAGGUGCGGGGAAUCUUGUCAAACUUCGUCGUGAUGGGGAUUGAUUAUUGAAAUUCUUGAUCAUCAACGAGGAAUUCCUAGUAAGCGCAAGUCAGCAGCUUGCGUUGAUUACGUCCCUGCCCUUUGUACAUACCGCCCGUCGCUACUACCGAUUGAAUGGUUUAGUGAGAUCUUCGGAUUGGCGCCACUGCGGCUCAGCAAUGGGCUCGGUGGAUGCCGAAAAGUUGAUCAAACUUGAUCAUUUAGAGGAAGUAAAAGUCGUAACA